GAUGAAGAACGUAGCGAAAUGCGAUAAGUAAUGCGAAUUGCAGAAUCCGUGAGUCAUCGAAUCUUUGAACGCACAUUGCGCCCCUUGGUUAUUCCGAAGGGCAUGCCUGUUCGAGCGUCAUUAUCACCCCUCAAGCCCUGGCUUGGUGUUGGACUUUAGUUAUAGCUUUGCCUAUCAACUGGUCUCAAAGAUAGUGACGGCGCCCCAGAGGGAACCGGGUACGAGGAGCUUUUUACUAAGCAUGUAUCUGGGACGACUCUGGGCGACGGUCUUGUUAUACUUUUUACCUAAGUGUUGACCUCGGAUCAGGUAGGAAUACCCGCUGAACUUAAGCAUAUCAAUAAGCGGAGG
rnacentral:misc_RNA from 1 species